ensembl:lncRNA
AGGACAGAUAAAGACUCCUGUCAUUCCCACUAGUUGCCCAGGCUAUGCACUGUGUAGUUCGGUCUUCUGGGACAGACAGAACGACACAGACACAGAUCGACAUUGCCAAUUAUAUCUCCAAAGGUCACCAGCUGGCACAUUAGCAAGCUUUUAUUUGUGUCAGAUGUGCUGUUGUUUGUGUUUAUAAGACUGUUGCAUGUCUUAGGAGUUAGCUUGCUAGUUUUAGACCAAAACACCUUUCUUCUGUAUUAAAAGAAAGAUACUCCCUAAUGUAUUUUAUACAUCUCUGAUAAACACAUCUUAUUUUCUCUUUCAGGGAAACAUAAACAUCAGAGAGAAUCACCCAGACAUUAUGCCUGCACAUAGUACAAUUGGAACUGUUAAUGACCCUGCUGGAACCUACUCCAUGAUCACCUCAACACCCAUGACUGUAGCUCCAGGUAAAACAAGAUUAUUUUAAUUUAUUUUCAUUUACAAAGAAAAGUUUUUCUUCUUCUUCCACAACUAUGUGUCACUAACCCGAGGUCUGUAUUACUCGGUACAUCUUGAAGACAUCCUGAUUAGAAGUACACAGUGUAUGUUUGCAGAUGUCAGACAUACAGUACAUUGUGGAUAAGUAUUUAUAAGAUGUGAAUGAUGAUGGAUCUUCCAUUGAUGCUCAUUCUCACAUCUUGUCUCCCCCACACACACACGCACACAAAACCCUCUAAAAUAUGCAGAUUUCCUCUUACAGUAUGAAGAAGCUAGUACCAUGCAUAUGUUCAUGUCACACAAGUAUUACAAGGCAUGAAAGUUAUGUGACAAUUACAACUCUCACAUUUGACUCUGUUCAUUAAAUCUUUCAGAUGUUGACAAAAGGGAAGACAUUUUCUCUGAACAGGAUGAUGUAAGUGCCCUAUGUGCAAAGUACUGUGCUAUGGAUGAAUAGCAAAAAUCCAUAGCUUUUCAUUCAGAUAAAUUUACCUGUGAAUACUAAAAACCUAUGUACCUAUGUUAACUUUGUGUGUAAAAUCACAUACAUCUCAUUUCACCAUGUUGUUUUUCUCAUUUUCAGUGCCAGUAAAUGGCCAUAAACUACUUUAUUUUUGUUUACCUUUAGUUAUAUGUGUAGUCUUUUUGUUUAUCUAACUCACUUUUGCUCUCUCCCAGGCAAACCAGUAUCAUGUCUACAACUUUAUAUCGGACCCACCAAGUAUCUCCAACCAGGGGGACCCCACAUACAGCUUGGUGCAGGACCACAGGAGCCCUGUUGUCACACAGCAGGACAUGACCUACAGCCUUCUGCAGGUGCACUGAUACAGCUGCACUUACCGCAUAUAGCAUUUAUUAUGUUUUAAAUGGCUUGUGUUGUGUUUUGGAAUGCCUGCAAAUAGAGAAAAUAACUACAAUGACUAUGGUCUAUUGAGGGUUUGAUGGACAUCUUCUCCAGUGAAAUUUCUGUUGUAUUUUAGCUAGAAUGUAAAGAUUUCCGGAGGCAAGUUAAAUACCGGUUUGCAGUAUAUAGGCAGAUUUACUAAUGGUAAAUACAUUGUUAAAUAAGCCACGCCCACAUACGCAUGUCCCAAAAUUGCCCGGAAUUACUGCCUCUCUGAGUACAUCUGCCACUUAGUAGAGUAUUUUCAUCAAAUGUUAAAUCAGUAGGCUAGUUAUUAUUGUUAGUUUUAGAUAAGAAAUUAAAACUUGACUUCAUAACGUGCAUAAACAUUCACAUAAUAAGACAUAAACCUCUAUAUAAUAUAUAUAAAAAAUAUGUAUAUACAUCACAAUACACAAAAGAAUAAAAGAAAUGCCAGAUGUGAAGAGGGUGAAAGAUGUCAUCUUGUCCUCUGAGUGGUUGGAAAGAGCAAAGACGAGGCCGUUUGACCUCUAAGUAGUUUUAAUAGAUUGAGGAAGUAGGCAGCUGACAGACAAAUAGGAAACUGCUAAACUCAACUAAAGAUGGUCUGACACUCAAACACCACAAUUGUCACUGAGGCUUGUUCAGCGACUUUGACCUGACGAUGCAUUAUUUCCUCUAGCUGGGU